AACAAACGCUGGCGGCGUGCCUAAUACAUGCAAGUCGAACGGGUAGCAAUACCAGUGGCGCACGGGUGAGGAAUACAUAGAUAAUCUGCCUUCGAGUCGGGGAUAACCAGUCGAAAGAUUGGCUAAUACCGGAUAAGACCACAGGAGCUGAGGCUCUAGGGGUUAAAGGUUUUUCGCUUGAAGAUGAGUCUAUGCGAGAUUAGCUAGUUGGUGAGGUAAUGGCUCACCAAGGCGACGAUCUCUAACUGGUCUUAGAGGAUGAUCAGUCACACUGGAACUGAGACACGGUCCAGACUCCGACGGGAGGCAGCAGUAGGGAAUAUUGCGCAAUGGGGGAAACCCUGACGCAGCGACGCCGCGUGAGUGAUGAAGGCCUUCGGGUCGUAAAGCUCUGUCGUAUGGGAAUAACACAAUGAAUGUACCAUGCAAGAAAGGAUCGGCUAACUUCGUGCCAGCAGCCGCUGUAAGA
rnacentral:rRNA from 1 species